rnacentral:tRNA from 1 species
UAGUUAAUGAACUUGUAAAAGUAUUUACUUUGAAAGUAAAAAAAAGAACUAAUAUUUUCUAUUAACU